rnacentral:rRNA from 1 species
AGGGAUCAUUACUGAGUUAGGGAGCAAUCCCGAACCUCCAACCCUUUGUGAACACAUCUUGUUGCUUCGGGGGCGACCCUGCCGUUUCGACGGCAUUCCCCCCGGAGGUCAUCAAAACACUGCAUUCUUACGUCGGAGUAUAAAGUUAAUUUAAUAAAACUUUCAACAACGGAUCUCUUGGUUCUGGCAUCGAUGAAGAACGCAGCGAAAUGCGAUAAGUAAUGUGAAUUGCAGAAUUCAGUGAAUCAUCGAAUCUUUGAACGCACAUUGCGCCCCCUGGUAUUCCGGGGGGCAUGCCUGUUCGAGCGUCAUUUCACCACUCAAGCCUCGCUUGGUAUUGGGCGCCGCGAGUCUCUCGCGCGCCUCAAAGUCUCCGGCUAGGCGGUUCGUCUCCCAGCGUUGUGGCAACUAUUCGCAGAGGAGUUCGAGUCGUCGAGGCCGUUAAUCUUUCAAAGGUGACCUCGGAUCAGGUAGGGAUACCCGCUGAACUUAA